rnacentral:lncRNA from 1 species
GAAUUCCUGUAAUCCCAGUGCUCUGGGAAGCUGAGGCAGGAGGAUUCAGUCUGAGCCCACCCUGGGCAACCUAAUCUAACAAGACCCUAUUUAAAUAAAAUUUAAAAAUUUUUGAAAGGUCUAGGGGUACAGUUUAGUGACAAAGCCCUAAGUAAUCCAGAGUGCCACCACCAAAAAAAAGGCAAGCUACUUGAAACUCUUAGUUCCACUAAUCAAUCGUUAAAUUUUUUUGCCCAUUGAAUAAUCUUUAAUACAGUUGGAAUCUUCUUACAAUUGCUUUAGAAGAGACUGAACUUUUUAGUAUUUUUUUAAUGAUAUAUAAGAACAAUAAAAUUUUGAGCUGAUAAUUAUAGAUUAGAAGAUCAUAACAUUAUCAAGUGGCCUUUUUGUCUUGAGGCAACCUGGGUUUUGUUUGUUUUUUUGUUUUUUUUUUUUCGAAGCUGGCCUUGAACUCACUUAUGUAGUCCAGGCUGGCCAGUCAUGGCAAUCCUCCUGCCUCAACCUCCCUCGUGCUGGGAUUAUAGGCAUGAGUCACCCACCUGGCAAGGCAACCUGUUGGUAAGAAAAUUCUGUUAUGUGAAAUUAGACUAAGUAUUUUUGGUCAAAAAAUUUCCCAGUCUACUGAUAGAAUCACACACAAGUGCCAGUGACUAAAAUUUCUGCCUCUUCUCCCUCAAGGAAGAAACCGACAGGCAUACACGAAAUGAGAAAACCAUUAGAACUUUCCAUUUUCUUUGGGAAACUGAGAUGUACCCUGAGAUGCUGGCUGCUCUUGCCAGACCACAGAUCCACAGCAGAAGAACCAAAGGACCUGGAAGUCAUUUGAGAAUGAAGAGAUAAAGUGCAGCAGAAGAAAUUUUCAUGUGACAUAUGUGUGUCUGCCAGAAAAAAAAAGGAUUCUCAAUAUCUAUCCUUUCUCACACUAACUUCCAAGAAAAUCUUGUACCUCUCCAGGAAGACAACUAUCUAGACUUUUAACUGGAAAAAAAAACCAAACAGAAAUUAAGAGCCCUCAGGCCUUUCCAAGUAGUACACCUGAGCGGCUAGUCACAGUCUUGAAAUAAGGAAGGACUGGGAGCUCAAGGUUACAAGCAAACAUUAAACUGAAAGCCCCAGGUCAACAAUCCAAUGCCUGGUCAUGCUCGCUACUAUCAUUGUGAGUCCAAUCUUCUCAUUCAAUAUGCCAG